AAUAUUGGACAAUGGGCGAAAGCCUGAUCCAGCCAUGCCGCGUGUGUGAAGUAGGUCUUCGGUUUGUAAAGUACUUUACGUCGGGAGGAAGGGUUGUAGGUUAAUACCCUGCAAUUUUGACGUUACCAACAGAAUAAGUACCGGCUAACUCCGUGCCAUCAGCCGCGGUAAUACGAAGGGUGCAAGCGUUAAUAGGAAUUACUUGGCGUAAAGCGCGCGUAGGUGGUUCGUUAAUUUGGAAGUGAAAGCCCCGGGCUUAACCUGGGAAUUGCUUUCAAAACUGACGGGCUAGAGUACGGUAGAGGGUAGUGGAAUUACCUGUGUAGCGGUGAAAUGCGUAGGUAUAGGAAGGAACAUCAGUGGCGAAGGCGACUACCUGGACUGAUACUGACACUGAGGUGCGAAAGCGUGGGGAGCAAACAGG
rnacentral:rRNA from 1 species